AAGAAAAGAAAACGGAAACGAGUGAGAGAAAGAAACAAAACUUGCUCCCCAAGGAUAUGGAGGAAUCUUCAUUCUUCAAACUAACAAACCCUUUUUAUAUUUUCGAAUUCUAAGUAGCGAUAGCAAAAUCAAAAUCCAUACAAAUUCACAGAUCAAACUCCCAAUUCUUCUCGCAGUUACCUCUCGAAUUCCCGUCGCUUUCUUCGUAGCAACUUGAUUUGAUUUCUCUGUUCUUCAACGGAUCGAUGGAUUGGUGUUCUCACUGUCUCGACAUUUGUAAAAUCCAAAAUGAUGGCGAUUUCAGAUGUUGCUCAACAUGUGGAAAAGUGCUUUCACAAAGUUCUACCGCUAAAUCAGUGAGCUUAAAGCUCAUUAAAAGAAGCUUUAAAAGAAGCUUCAUUUUAAGUCAGAAGAAAAGGAAGGGACUUCUUAAACUAACACAACUCCACAAUUGGACUUAGAUUUUCAUUUAUUCCCAAUUCAAGCACAAUUCUAAAUAACAUUAUUUAUUUGUUUAAAUCUUUUAAUGGAAGUAUAUAAUGUAAAUAUCAUCCUUUAGAAAUUCAUUCUUAUAAGGAAAAUGGAAAAAUUAGAAAAUAAAAACUAGUGUUUGAAUGUGUACUCUUUCAAAUGGCCAAAUUGGGCUUUUUGAACAAGGUAAAUAUUAAUUAAACUCUUUUUUCAUAUUU